AUGCUCGCUUCGGCAGCACAUAUACUAAAAUUGAAAUGAUACAGGGAAGAUUAGCAUGGCCCUUACACAAGGAUGACACGCAAAUUUGUGAAGCAUUCUGUAUUUUU
rnacentral:snRNA from 1 species